GUUCAUAAAAGCUGAAAAAUUAUUGGAUUGAGAGUCAUACUCAAUCCAAGUAUAGAAAAUUUGUCCAUUAGUGAUAGGUAGAAAUUGAUCACUAAUAGGAACAAAUAUUAGUGGUUCGAAAGUGUUAUUGAUACUAACACUAAGAUGAGAUACCAUAUUUUGGUCCUCACCUACGGUGGUAUCAAUAACAAAUGCUAAGAAACUCUUUGGUAGUCU
rnacentral:lncRNA from 1 species